rnacentral:lncRNA from 1 species
AUGGCUUGGUAAACAACUUUGUGUGCACCAGAAGUAUUUUGUUGACUGCAUUAAGCCUGGUGAGGUCACACAUCUGUGCUGAUCCAUUCACCAGUGGAGAAGGAAAGUUUGCAAUGCUGCUGCUGGACUAAAUUACCAAGUGCUGGCAGGCUGCCGGGGUCAUGUUGCUGGGCAGAUCAUCAGGUGUUGGCCAGUCACUGAGAGCUGCUCACACAGCAAAAAUGUACAGGACAGCACACUCACCCUUCCUUCCUUCCCCAAAAUCAAGACAACUGUCUCCUUGAUGGGUCUGUAGGAUUAGAGCUGACCUUGCUACAGGACAGCAUGGGGCUUCUAUAAAACAAAUUGUGGUUUUUUUACCUCUUCAUCUUCAGCAUUUUCUCCCAGACCUUGACAUUCCCACCACUGUUUAAUUGUUUGGGUUUUUUUUAAUUUUGUUGAGCUGAAGUAAAACAAUAGAUUACUUCAGCUUCAAAAAAUAACUUUUAUUUACACUUGUUCCUAGUUAUUUAUUUUCUUUUUUUUCCAGUUUUGGUGGCUAGCUUCUUCAGCUAAUGGAUGACACAGAGAAAUACCUGAAUCUAUCCUGUGUCUGUGAGCACCAAAUUCCUAGAUUGCAAGACCAGCCUAAUUCUUUGCUCUGCUGGAAGUCAUCUUAAGAGGCUGCUUGACGUGGGCCUCAGGAAUGCCUUGUGGAACUUCUGCACUCAGCUCUUACUCCAUCAUCACCGCCUUGCAGAGAGCGGUGGAUGGCUGCAUCUGGGAGUCCAUCUAAGUGAGGGGCUGGUUCACUUUGAACACUGGUGUGGAGCAAGGCUACACUUACUUUCUGGAGCUCUUUAGCAUUAUCAUUCGUAACUACUGUGUAGGCAGCACGAGCAGCAGCAUUCUGUGGGGUGGAUUGCACAUAUCUUGGAAGCGUAAAUUGUGCUAGUAGCACUGCGUUACUGAGCCAUAGACCUGAAAAAACCUGUGAAGAUACAUAACCUAGCAAAAGCAGUAAGCCAGACAGGAUUUAAAAUCAGUUAUCAAAGCAAACAUCCCUGAAAGCUUAAUACCAAGCAUCAAAGUCAUGCUAGAAAACACAAAUUCUGGGAAAGCAGAGCUUGCCAGUCCUGUCCAUAUCCCACUUCUGACUAAUUAGGAAAGAACUGACAGUAAAAAUAGGAAAGUCUUGCACCACUCAUUUCAGCAUAUGUA